UUUUUUUCCAUCUUUUAUUUUAUUAAUGGGUCUAAGCCCAUGAUCCAACAAAACAAACAUAAAACAUAAAGCCCGACACAAUGGGCCUACAUAAACUAAACCCGGGCCUAAAGCACAAGCCCACAAACCAAACGGCUAAACACGCGUCCAACAAAGCUCGCAUGCCCGUCCACGUGUUGAAGCCCACCCCUUUCGAGAACACGCGUCACCUGGUCACACCACCGCGACCGGCACCGAGAAAAACAUCGCCGGCGAAGACGAAACCAUCUCCUUCUGCUCUGUCUUCUCUGACUCCGGCGUAGUUUUUCUCGAGUUAGUCUCGAUGUAGCUCUCCGUUGAAGAGUCCAGGCGAAACAGAUGGGUGAGAUGGUCUCAGUUUCCGGUGUGCUCCGUCGAAACUAUAGGUGGUUUCGUCUUCGCCGGCGAUGUUUUCUCGGUGCCGGUCGCGGUGGUGUGACCAGGUGACGCGUGUUCUCGAAAGGGGUGGGCUUCAACACGUGGACGGGCAUGCGAGCUUUGUUGGACGCGUGUUUAGCCGUUUGGUUUGUGGGCUUGUGCUUUAGGCCCGGGUUUAGUUUAUGUAGGCCCAUUGUGUCGGGCUUUAUGUUUUAUGUUUGUUUUGUUGGAUCAUGGGCUUAGACCCAUUAAUAAAAUAA
rnacentral:lncRNA from 1 species